UGAUAUAUAGUAGUUAAAAAACUUGUGCUGUUUAUUACACAAAAUUCCUUCCAUGAGACGCAAUGGAAAUGUAUCAUACAUAUAAGAAAGGAAUCUCUCUUGGUAAAUUAACGAGAUUUAAGUGAAUAUCGUUUCCUAACAACGAAAUUAACAACGAAGUAUAUCUAGUGUUAUAAUAAUGUGAUAACUUCAUGAUACAGUAAUGAAGUAACUAGAAUGAGGGGCUAGAAACCCAA
rnacentral:misc_RNA from 1 species